UUUAGCAGCUAGCUCUCUGCAACUCGCACAUGGUUGCCCACUAAAGCUAAGCAGGGCUGUGCCUGGUCAGUACCUGGAUGGAAGACCACAUGGGAAAGCUAGGAAGCUGCCGCAA
ensembl:rRNA 5S_rRNA 5S ribosomal RNA